AUUUCGCGCAGCAUUUUGACUCGUAUAUACUCGGGAAUAAGGCUCGAGCGUAUCUACCCGGGAACCUUAAAUUACCGGACUACGAGCGGAUGACGAAGAGAU
rnacentral:ncRNA from 2 species